rnacentral:rRNA from 1 species
AAGCGCUUGCAGCCAGACUUGCCUGUAGUUGCUCAUCCGGGCUUUUGCCCGGUGCAUUCUUCUGUAGGCAGGCCAGCAUCAGUUUGGGCGGUUGGAUAAAGACCUCUGUCACGUACCUUCUCUCGGGAAGGCCUUA